rnacentral:tRNA from 1 species
GCAGUCGUGACCGAGUGGUUAAGGUGAUGGACUAGAAAUCCAUUGGGGUCUCCCCGCACAGGUUCGAAUCCUGUCGACUGCG